rnacentral:rRNA from 1 species
GACUGCGUACCUUUUGUAUAAUGGGUCAGCGACUUAUAUUCUGUAGCAAGGUUAACCGAAUAGGGGAGCCGGAGGGAAACCGAGUCUUAAUUGGGCGUUAAGUUGCAGGGUAUAGACCCGAAACCCGGUGAUCUAGCCAUGGGCAGGUUGAAGGUUGGGUAACACUAACUGGAGGACCGAACCGACUAAUGUUGAAAAAUUAGCGGAUGACCUGUGGCUGGGGGUGAAAGGCCAAUCAAACCGGGAGAUAGCUGGUUCUCCCCGAAAGCUAUUUAGGUAGCGCCUCGUGAAUUCAUCUCCGGGGGUAGAGCACUGUUUCGGCUAGGGGGCCAUCCCGGCUUACCAACCCGAUGCAAACUGCGAAUACCGGAGAAUGUUAUCACGGGAGACACACGGCGGGUGCUAACGUCCGUCGUGAAGAGGGAAACAACCCAGACCGCCAGCUAAGGUCCCAAAGUCAUGGUUAAGUGGGAAACGAUGUGGGAAGGCCCAGACAGCCAGGAUGUUGGCUUAGAAGCAGCCAUCAUUUAAAGAAAGCGUAAUAGCUCACUGGUCGAGUCGGCCUGCGCGGAAGAUGUAACGGGGCUAAACCAUGCACCGAAGCUGCGGCAGCGACACUGUGUGUUGUUGGGUAGGGGAGCGUUCUGUAAGCCUGUGAAGGUGUGUCGUGAGGCAUGCUGGAGGUAUCAGAAGUGCGAAUGCUGACAUAAGUAACGAUAAAGCGGGUGAAAAGCCCGCUCGCCGGAAGACCAAGGGUUCCUGUCCAACGUUAAUCGGGGCAGGGUGAGUCGACCCCUAAGGCGAGGCCGAAAGGCGUAGUCGAUGGGAAACGGGUUAAUAUUCCCGUACUUGGUGUUACUGCGAAGGGGGGACGGAGAAGGCUAUGUUGGCCGGGCGACGGUUGUCCCGGUUUAAGCGUGUAGGUGUGUGUUCCAGGUAAAUCCGGUUCACUUUAACACUGAGGCGUGACGACGAGGCACUACGGUGCUGAAGCAACAAAUGCCCUGCUUCCAGGAAAAGCCUCUAAGCAUCAGGUAACAUCAAAUCGUACCCCAAACCGACACAGGUGGUCAGGUAGAGAAUACCAAGGCGCUUGAGAGAACUCGGGUGAAGGAACUAGGCAAAAUGGUGCCGUAACUUCGGGAGAAGGCACGCUGACACGUAGGUGAAGUGAUUUACUCAUGGAGCUGAAGUCAGUCGAAGAUACCAGCUGGCUGCAACUGUUUAUUAAAAACACAGCACUGUGCAAACACGAAAGUGGACGUAUACGGUGUGACGCCUGCCCGGUGCCGGAAGGUUAAUUGAUGGGGUCAGCGCAAGCGAAGCUCCUGAUCGAAGCCCCGGUAAACGGCGGCCGUAACUAUAACGGUCCUAAGGUAGCGAAAUUCCUUGUCGGGUAAGUUCCGACCUGCACGAAUGGCGUAAUGAUGGCCAGGCUGUCUCCACCCGAGACUCAGUGAAAUUGAACUCGCUGUGAAGAUGCAGUGUACCCGCGGCAAGACGGAAAGACCCCGUGAACCUUUACUAUAGCUUGACACUGAACAUUGAGCCUUGAUGUGUAGGAUAGGUGGGAGGCUUUGAAGUGUGGACGCCAGUCUGCAUGGAGCCGACCUUGAAAUACCACCCUUUAAUGUUUGAUGUUCUAACGUGGACCCGUUACCCGGGUUGCGGACAGUGUCUGGUGGGUAGUUUGACUGGGGCGGUCUCCUCCUAAAGAGUAACGGAGGAGCACGAAGGUUGGCUAAUCCUGGUCGGACAUCAGGAGGUUAGUGCAAUGGCAUAAGCCAGCUUGACUGCGAGCGUGACGGCGCGAGCAGGUGCGAAAGCAGGUCAUAGUGAUCCGGUGGUUCUGAAUGGAAGGGCCAUCGCUCAACGGAUAAAAGGUACUCCGGGGAUAACAGGCUGAUACCGCCCAAGAGUUCAUAUCGACGGCGGUGUUUGGCACCUCGAUGUCGGCUCAUCACAUCCUGGGGCUGAAGUAGGUCCCAAGGGUAUGGCUGUUCGCCAUUUAAAGUGGUACGCGAGCUGGGUUUAGAACGUCGUGAGACAGUUCGGUCCCUAUCUGCCGUGGGCGCUGGAGAACUGAGGGGGGCUGCUCCUAGUACGAGAGGACCGGAGUGGACGCAUCACUGGUGUUCGGGUUGUCAUGCCAAUGGCACUGCCCGGUAGCUAAAUGCGGAAGAGAUAAGUGCUGAAAGCAUCUAAGCACGAAACUUGCCCCGA